AGCGAACGCUGGCGGCAGGCUUAACACAUGCAAGUCGAACGGAAAUUGCCGGCUUAGUGCCGGCGGGUGGCGUAACACGUAGUGACGCGCCUUUAGGUGCGCAAUCAUUGAGGAUAACUUGUGCUAAUAGCAACUGUGCCCUUAGGGGGUAAGAUUUAUCGCCUGUAGGGCGGCCCGCGUAUGCUUAGCUAGUUGGUUGAGGUAAUGGCUCACCAAGGCGUGGGUCAGUAGCUGGGCAGAGAGGAUGAGCAGCCACACUGGGACUGAGACACGGCCCAAAAUCUUACGGGAUGCAGCAGAGGGGAAUCCAGCGCAAUGAGGUAAAGGCUGACGGAGCCAUGGCGGGUGAAUGAUGAAGGUCUUAGGAAAGUAAAUUUCUUUAACCGGCGAGGAUAAUGACGGUACCGGGAGAAGAAGCCCCGGCUAACUACGUG
rnacentral:rRNA from 1 species